AACGAACGCUGGCGGCAGGCUUAACACAUGCAAGUCGAACGAGAUCUUCGGAUCUAGUGGCAGACGGGUGAGGAACACGUGGGAACAUCCCUUUCAGUUCGGAAUAACGUUGGGAAACUAACGCUAAUACCGGAUCCGUCCUUCGGGAGAAAGAUUUAUCGCUGAAAGAUUGGCCCGCGUCUGAUUAGCUAGUUGGUGAGGUAAUGGCUCACCGAGGCUACGAUCAGUAGCUGAUCUGAGAGGAUGAUCAGCCACAUUGGGACUGAGACACGGCCCAAACUCCUACGGGAGGCAGCAGUGGGGAAUAUUGGACAAUGGGCGCAAGCCUGAUCCAGCCAUGCCGCGUGAGUGAUGACGGCCUUCGGGUUGUAAAGCUCUUUUGUCCGGGAAGAUAAUGACUGUACCGGAAGAAUAAGCCCCGGCAAACUUCGUGCCAGCCGCCGCAGUAA
rnacentral:rRNA from 1 species